ACAAACAGAUACAGAAAUCAAUGAAAGAGAGAAUGGAAUUAUAAGUU
rnacentral:guide_RNA from 1 species